rnacentral:rRNA from 1 species
CGUGUAGGCGGAUGGGAACGUCGGAUACUGAAAGCCCCCGGCUACAACCGGGGAAGUGGUGCCGAAACGAACCUGUCUGGAGGGACGUAGGGGGAUCUGGAACUUCCGGUGGAGCGGUGAAAUGCGUUGAGAUCGGAAGGAACGCCCGUGGCGAAAGCGAGGUCCUGGACGUCUGCUGACGCUGAGACGCGAAAGCUAGGGGAGCAAACGGGAUUAGAUACCCCGGUAGUCCUAGCUGUAAACGAUGGGCACUGGGUAGGGGGCUCGCCGAUGGGCUCUCUGCCGUAGCGAAAGCGUGAAGUGCCCCGCCUGGGGAGUAUGGUCGCAAGGCUGAA